AGAAAGCAAUAUUAUGGUUAGAGGACAGAAGUAAUGUUUUUAAGUUUACGCUUCACAAGAUGUUAAUUGAUGAACUGGAGUGGUGUGGAUUAUUGUGAUAGGAUUCAUUUGUGAGCACGUGAUGUAAUGCUAAAAUUUUCCACAUCUGUUCCAAUGAAGAAACAAACUAAUGAGGGUGAGUGAUUUUUUUUUUUUUAGCUAGUUUUAAUUUUUGGCUGAAGUACUCCCAAGUGUUUGUCUGAUUUAGACCUCUGUUAAUCGAUUCAACUAAUGCAUUCAUAUGAACUGCCUCAUUUGAGCGAAUCUUUCAUGAAUCGGGUAGCACAUUAUGCUUUGUUCAUGGUAGCAUGCAGUUAACAACGCCACAUUAUGUUUUUCUUUCUCAGACAAUUUAAAAGACAAUAUAUAUGCACAUUUUUACCGUGUGGAUGCAGCUUCAGCGAUGUCGCUCUUGAAUAACCCUACAUGAUGCACUGAUGUGUGCAGUGCCAUGCAGCUCUUCUGUGGCUGCAGUAAUUGAAACAUUGUAAGCUUUUAAUCAUAUCGGACUCAUUAAAAACACCAUGUGUAUUAAUGAAUAUAUUAAA